rnacentral:rRNA from 1 species
GACGAACGCUGGCGGCGUGCUUAACACAUGCAAGUCGAACGGAAAGGCCCCUUUGGGGGUACUCGGGUGGCAAACGGGGGAGUAACACGUGCGUAACCUGCCCUUGACUUCGGGAUAACUUCAGGAAACGGGGGCUAAUACCGGAAAGGAAUCCUUGCUGCAUGGUGGGGGUUGGAAAGCUUCGGCGGUUUUGGAUGGACUCGCGGCUUAUCAGCUUGUUGGUGGGGUAGUGGCUUACCAAGGCUUUGACGGGUAGCCGGCCUGAGGGGGCGACCGGCCACAUUGGGACUGAGAUGCGGCCCAGACUCCUACGGGAGGCAGCAGUGGGGAAGAUUGCACAAUGGGCGGAAGCCUGAUGCAGCAACGCCGCGGGCGGGAUGACGGCCUUCGGGUUGUAAACCGCUUUCAGCAGGGGCGAAGCUUGUGGUGACGGUACCUGCAGAAGAAGCACCGGCUAACUACGUG